CGCGGGGCUCGCGGGGAUGUGUGUGCGUGGAGGUAGGUGUUGGGGAUGGACGGGAUCCGGGGGGAACCUCGGCUUCACACAGACUGCGGGAGCUGUGAGUCCUUUCUGAAAUAGGAAGAGAGAAAUCCUGGAGACUGACACGCGAGGCGAAGGAAGGAGAAAGGGCGGGGAGAGAGAAACGUGCUCCUCCGUGCACAGCCGAAAUUCAGGGGCAGGGCGGAAGGCAAAACCUGGACUGGAUCGCUUCCUACUCGUGGGGGGGGGGUAAAAAGGAAACGUCCCUGUUUUCUUAUUGACUUCACAGCCUUCAGAGUGAUAUGAAUGCUAUGAAAGGCAAAGAAUAUUUUAAAAGCAGAAGAAGCUGAGCCUCUUGCCUUCUUAAAGCUGGAAGAGCAUCUUGCCAGUGGGAAACAACAUCGCCGAUAGAGAGAGGAGACAAUAACCGGGAAAGGCAGACAGGAACCUAGAGGCUCGGUUUCUUCUUACCUGAGCUACCAAACUAGGCCUGCACUUCUUGUUAAAUUACCAAUAAAGUAUCCCAUAAUUGACACAACUCAUUUGGCUAUUCUGUUAUUUUCCAUCUCAGAGUAUACGUCAAAUGAAAGGAUGAACAUGAGAAACUGAAGGCCAGAGACAGAUUAGUUGCAAUGUGAGAAAAGAACAAAAAUUAGGUACCAUUAUGGAAUCCAAGUUAGAAGACUUUCAAACCUGAAACAAAUUGCACUGAACAUCAAAGACAAAGAAGACAGAGAAAAUGGUACUUGGACAGUGACAAAGAGACUUGCAUACUGGAAACUGGGAGAGAAACAUUUUUGUAGAGCAAUUAGGUGAGUGCCAGACCACAUGGAAUUGUGUGGGAAAUGGAUGGAAUGAAUAUGGAAACAUCAGGUCCAAGUGAUUGCGGUGCAUUAACUGUGUACAGAAGUGGGCAGAUGGAUAGCCAGGCGUGUUUCCACCAGAAGCUUCGAAGACUUCAGGGAUAUCUUAUCAAAGCAGGACAAAUAAGUUCAAAUGAAACCUUAUGAAAACAAGAUAACCCACUUCAAGUGUCUAUUCCACAUCUCAGCUUGGCACAAAUCAAAAUUGCUUAGUUAACCUGCCUCUUGAAAAACAGAGCCUGUAAUGAAAAAACUGUCAGAAAUUUAACAACAGCAGCUCUGCCAGGAGCGUGGAUAGUGGGAAGGUUGCUGAGUUACAGAGGAAUACAAGGUAAACUCUGGUGAAUAAUGACCAGAAAUGAUGGGACUAUUUCAUUUUGUCUGAUGACUUAUAUCUAACAACUCCUGAUAGUUCACUUAACAUUUUUGGAGGAAAAAGUUUAUACUUAGUACUGAUAUCAAUCAAAAUUGUGUCUUUAGGGCAGCUGAGAACCAACCUGGUUUCUUAAUCGCUGGGAGGAAAACUACUCCUGAAGGACCACAGCUUCUUCUCUCAGAAGUAUUACUCUAAGACUCUGAAGCCAGUGCUCUUUUACUUGAGAGAAGGAAAUCUUGUGAUCUGCUUAAUCUUAGUCAUGACAAGAUUUAGCCAAAAGAACGGAAAGGAUUCUAUUUAAUUAUGUUGAGUUUUCAUAAAUGCUGGUGAAACUUAUACAAUGAGAGAAUUUCACACACUCAUAAGGCACUAUUCACAUUUAUCUGAAAUACUACUAACAAUUGCGAGAACGGUAUUAAACAGAAAAUAUAUUGAAAUACUAUAGCAAUUUAAAACAUUGUGUUCAAUUUUUCUUAUUUAUUACCAAUCUGUGAGUCUACCCUCCA
ensembl:lincRNA